rnacentral:lncRNA from 10 species
GGCAGAAACUAGCCAGGUGUUCUCAAACCCCGUUCCUCUUUUCUUCCUGCACACUUGGUUAGAAUACAUUUCUCACCCUCUCUUUCAGUUAGGUGAAUAGACAUGACUGAGUUCAAGUAAAAGGAGUGUGAGUUAAAAUGACACAAACCACUACACAGCAUCCUGCAUGCAGCCCUUCAUGCUGUUUUUCUUUAACAAGCUUAGCAGAGAUAAGCAUAGAAAUGUUAGAAGCAAGAGUCGAAGAUGGCUGAGCCUCAAGAAGGAAGGAGGCUAUGGCUUUAUGGAGGAGAGCUGCCUGAAUUUCAUUUGUCCUGAGAGAGUGGAGGAACUGGAGAUAGGACUACAGGGAGAAAAAAAUCUUACCACAAGAAUCGGCUGCUCUGCCUUCCAGUUCACUUUCAAACCCUUUCAAAUACAUCAAUAUCUUCCUGACCAUAUCAAUAUUAUUUUUAGAAGUUAGACAAUGAACUUGAAUUUUCUGCAGAUGGCAAGUCAUUUACUGAAAUGGAAAAAAAGUAUGAAUCCCAAGGGAUAUCAUGACCCAUUAACAGUGGGAUGUAGUCCUACAUUGAAUAAUAAUUUAGAGCUAUUACUAAGAUAAUUAGAGAGCCAGUUUGCUGCCAGAAGGGUUAGACCUUAGCUUCUCCUUUUAUUAAAAAGAAGAUCCUGAUCUGUAAAUGAAAAGAACCCAAAGUUCAUUAAUACCAUAACCCCAACAUCUGCCUGCCAUAAAAAGAUAAUGAUUUAGUAUAAAUUAAUUUCAACUCUUCAGGUGCUGCAGAUUUUAUCAGACAAUUACAUCACUGGCAUUCAUUCUCCAUUGUAUUACUUUCAACUUAAAGUUAAAUGUUCCCUAAUAUUUGUUCAACAAUGGAUACUAGCGAAAAGACAUUUUAGGAAAAUUAUUUUUCUCUAACUUCUAUUGAAAAAGAGUUUUUACACACACUGUUUCUUUCAGUUUUCACUGUGUUGCCUUUAAAAGAUCGGUGUGAACUUCCAGACAAAGCCAAUGUGUUGGAUAAAAACAAAAACGACACUGAGACCUUGUCAAAGAGAUUCAUAUGGUUCACUUCACCAAGACUUCCCCUUACUAUUUAAAGAUUAAUAAGGACAAAUUUUCCUUCAUAUUUCCAUCUAUGUUCUCCCCAAAACUGAUUUUUGCUUCCUCAAGCAAAGCUUCACUAAGAAGCAACUAACUGCAUGCCAUUACCUAGCACAAAGAAAGCAGAGAACUAAUGAUGUUAGCCAUGGCCUCUCUCCCCUCCCCGUUGUCCUAUGUCUCUUAUAUACACUUUAUUGUAGAUAGAGCAACCUGGAUACCUCAGUUCUCUUUCUAGGUAGGAGAAGAUGUUAAUAGCAAGAUGGAAUUGAAACCCUAUCUUGUUCUUUCUUUUUUUGAUUGAUAUUAUCAAAACUGAUAUUUGAAUAAACACUCAUAAUUUCCUUGAGAAUAUAGUGGUGAUAUUGAUGGUUUCUAACCAUAUAAUUCCCACUUCUAACAAAAUAAACUAUGAAGUUUGCUAGAAAAAUAUCCAAACCAGCAAUAAAAAAAAACUGUGGUGUUUUUUUGUUUUUUGUUUUUGUUUUUUUUUUUUUUGAGACCAAGUUUCUCUCUUGUUGCCCAGACUGGAGAUCAAUGGCGCCAUCUCGGCUCACUGCAACCUCUGCCUCCCAGGUUCAAGCAAUUCUCCUGCCUCAGCCUCCCAAGUAGCUAGACUACUGGCAUGCAACACCUCACCCAGCUCAUUUUGUAUUUUUAGUAGAGACGAGGUUUCUCCAUGUUGGUCAGGCUGGUCUGGAACUCCUGACCACAGGUGAUCUGCCCUCCUUGACCUCAAAAAAUGUAGUUUUAAUUCAAGCUCUUCAAUUGUGUUCCCUGACCUUCAGCAGGCAGUUACUGUCUCUGGAAAUUAUUUUCCCUUUCUGCAAAUAGAGCACUUGAAUUAGUAGACCUCUAAAUUUAUUUUCAGCUCUAUAAGUCUAAGAAUCAUUAUUAAAAGAUACCAAAUGUUUACUAGUUAUACAUAACUCUGUAUGAAUCUCUCUUCUGUAGUAAAUGUGGGCAUGAAUUUUGAUUGAAAUAGCAAUGCCCAGUGUGCUGAUGGUAUAAGCAAUUGUUAUUGAGAUAACAAAUUAAACAAAAUAUUUCAAAUGAAUAAAAUAUUUCAAAUGAAAGUAUUUGAAGAAUAUGCAAAAUAGAGUCAUUAUACUUUCAAAAUCUGACAAAUUCCUGGUUACUGAGUGAAGUUAACCAACCCAGGAAUCGCGUUUCAUAAAAUAAAGUUUUAAAUUAAGUUUCCCAAAGCAUUUAGUACAAGUAAAUUCAUGUAUUUGACAAAAAUAUUUUCCCCUUGCCAUUUAGAUAUGAUUAAGAAACUAUUCUGGACAGUUCUAAUUCAAGAUGACUUAGUGUUAUAAUUCAACUACCAGAUUGUGAAAAAUUAUUGUUUAUCUGCAUUUUGUACAAAUACAGUUUAUGAUUCAAUUAUAUUUCAUAAGCAAAAAUGCAUUGUAAAAUUUAUUCUUAAAAUUAAUAACAUUUAACACAGACUUUUGGAGCAAUUUCACGGUUUAGAAGGAGAGUAAGUCCAUAAUGACUUCAAGCUGAUAACUGAAACGCAAUUUCGGAAAGUAUUCACAGCAGAUAAGUGGUAUAUUUACACUGAAGAGCCCCAAAUUGGUAUGUUUUCCUUCCACAUUCCAUAACUCUUCCUAUCGCAUAUUAUAAUACUGGUCAUUCAUAUGUACUUUAUAAUAUUUAUUAAUUUAUUUGUACUGGAAGCAGGGAUAGCUCCUUGGUAGCUUACUCUUUAAUAAAACUUUCAUAUGAAAGGCAAAACGUGGUUAUUUGUAUUAUGUAUCUAGCCACUGAUUAGUUUCCUAGACGUAGUUAUGAACUUGGUGAUAAUCACUUCAAUUAUUUGCAUUAUCUUUAGUACCGCGUCCCAUCCUGAGAAAAAUUCAUGUUUUCUAUAGGUGAUCCGAGACACCAAUAUGCUUGUUUUAAUCUUUGAAAUUUGAAUACUGGAAGUAGGGAGUUAAUUUAGCUGAUGAAAGGGGUAGAGAGGGGACAAUACAAAAUAUUUUACCAAAGGGCAUCUUUAAGACACCCUGAAACUUUACUUGUGUCAGAAAUAACUUGAUCUCUUUGGCAACUUUAAAUUAUAACCCAAGUACAGGAGCAACUUGAUUUGUAAUUGCCUUGUGUGUAGUGGUAAUACUCUUCAGCGUAGACUAUCACAGGCAUUAGUUGACUGGUCAUUGUGAACUUCAUAUUAUAAAGGUCUCCUCUAGAUAGUCCCAUGUCAUAAAUGAUUUUUUUAGCUAAAUUAUACAACUAACCAACAAAAUAGCAAUAAAUAAAAGAGGAUUACAUAUUGGCAUCAUAAAAACAUUAACAAUACAGUUUACCCUCCAUAUCCUUGUACUCCAUGUCCGUGGUUUCCACAAACCAUGAAUAGAAAAUACUCAAAAAAGAAAUCACACAGCCAAAUUAGUGGCUCAUGCCUGUAAUCCCAGCACU